UAUGUAGUCGAAACUGAUGCCGGACGUUUUAUACGGAAUAGGUGAUUUCUGCGACUGGCUACUAACCCACCACCCAAUGAAGAGUUCACGACACCUACGAUCGAACCACCAUCUCCACCGCUAUCGGUCAGGGAGGCUAGCCCACCCCUUCUCCGUCAUAGUCAUCGGAACAGACGCCGUACAGUUCGUUUCAAAAUUUGAGCGUCAUAACGGCCAUCAUCAAAUCAUAAUGAUAACAACAACAGUAAUAUUCGCUCAAGGAUGUGUCCAAGGACAGCGUGGGUAAAGGAGAAGAAGGAUAACAACCAUGAAAAAACGGGCUCGAUGCUUGCCUCCUCCAUGUAUUGUCUGAGUUUCUUGGUCCUUGGUUGCUAUUGUUGCUGUUUUCUUUUCUUUUCUUUUUUCGUAUAUUUGCGAUGCUCCAUACGAGGGGGGAGAUGUACUAUUUGGCAGUUCUGCCAAAGGCUAAAAGUGUUGGUGUAAAUUGCCGCGAGCGAAAAUGAACAAAUUCGUGCAACUCAGAUCCGUUCUAUGGUCAGAAUUGUAUUUUCAGCGUUAACACAAAAGUGUAACAAGGUGGAUUGUAUCAAAAUAUCAAACACGUUGGACGGACUAAUAAAAAAAGUCUGUUCUGCGUUAGCUGAAAAAUCCAACUUCCUCUUCGCGUCUUCUGCCAUCUUCCAUGUAAACUGCAGAUCAAGGCCGAAAACGAUCGGACGAUACCAAAGUUCAAUCGUCACAUGGUGAAGAUGAAGCCCAUUAGAAGAAACGGAUCCUCACGACAGUAAACAAGAAGAAGACACGAAGCGAUGACAUGAUACAUAAAAUCCACAUGACGUACAUUAAAUACUGUACAAAUAUUCAAAGAGCACGAAAGACAUGACACGAAUAUAUACAACAAAACCUAAAAGAUAUGGCAGGAAUCAACAGUUGGUAUCGCAAAAGAAGAAUGAAGUUUAUUCGUCAAUUUUUAUGGAACUAAAGAUCAGUUACUGAUUUUUCUUUGUCUUUUUUUAACAUUUUCCAGUCUACGUCGGCGAAAUGAAUGAUCGUUUGGAAUUCGACGAGGGCUCCGGAAUAAUGGCAACAGAGCUACAUGUUGAAGAAUGUCGCGGAAUUGGCUUUGAAGGUUUUACCAUUUCCCUGCCGAGUACUUUCCAAACGACUGGAUUUAACAUCAAUGGAUAUCCGAAUAAUACUGCAUCUUCUUUUCGAUACUUUUGCAAUUACCUAAUUAAGUUUGAGACUACUGUAAGUGGAACGGUGACAGUUAAAGAAAAAGAUUUCCAGUUCCAAGAACCAAGUGGCGGAUCAUUUUUUAUGUGAACGAUGAACAACAACAAAACGACAAUAGUGACCCCGAUGACCGAGAUUUGCGUACAAAUGCCGUGGAAUAUUGUGGCACGAUUACAGAACACAAGAUCCGCGAUUUCUCUAAUGAUGAAGUUUUUAUUUAAUUAGCCGCCAACAACACAGAAAACGGCAACGGAGCCGAGAUUGUUAUCUGCAUUGAUUAAAAAGAGAUGAGGGUCAAAACCCGAUUCUAUGUCUUUGCCACUUUUAUGAACUAUGAAGUGAUUAUUGGUU